UCUACACUCAUCAGAUCAGUCCACUCUCUAUUACUGCAGGAACUACAGACUUCAAAAAUCCUUUCUACAGAUAGAAGUCCAACUUUGAAGCGACCAGACGGGACUUUAGCGCUCAUAUGUGGAGUUUAUUUGUGAAUCUCGAGUGAUUUGAGCAGAAGUUUGAGUUGGUUUUUAAGCUUUUACAGGCGCUAAUGUUAGCCUGUUAGCUCUUAUUAUUUCCCUAUAAACCUCUGAUCAAAUCAACAUGAAGAUCACUGUGGAUUUUGAAGAGUGUCUCAAAGAUUCACCUAGAUUCAGGGCAACAAUCGAGGAAGUGGAUGGCGACGUCAGUGAGCUGGAGUCCAAACUAGACAAGCUUGUGAAGUUGUGCAUUGGAAUGAUAGAUGCUGGAAAGGCAUACAACACGGCCAACAAACAAUUUGUGAACGGAAUUCGAGAGUUGGCUCAGCAGUCUGCCAAGGAUGAUGUCAUCGAGUCCAGUCUUUCCAAGUUUGCUGAGAGUCUUCAAGAGAUGAUCAGCUAUCACACAAUUUUGUUCGACCAAGCACAGCGAUCAAUCAAAUCACAACUGCAGACGUUUGUGCGAGAGGACCUUCGGAAGUUUAAAGAAGCUAAGAAACAAUUUGACAAAGUGAGUGAAGAGAAAGAGGUGGCUCUGUCCAAAAAUGCCCAGGCACCUCGCAACAAACAGCACGAGGUGGAAGAGGCCACCAACAUCCUCAACGCCACACGCAAGUGUUUCCGACACAUUGUUCUGGACUACGUACUUCAGAUUAAUGUGCUCCAGUCCAAGAGACGAUCAGAAAUUCUUAAAUCGAUGCUGUCCUUCAUGUACGCUCACCUGACCUUCUUCCAUCAAGGUUAUGAUCUGUUCAGUGAACUACAACCCCUCAUGAAACAACUCACCGGACAGCUGGAUCAGCUGGUGAUGGUCUCAGCGAAUGAGAGGAAGGAUAUGGAGACCAAGCACUCCACUAUUCAACAGAAGGACUUUUCGAAUGAUGACACCAAACUGGAAUAUAAUGUGGAUGCCGAGAAUGGGAUUGUCAUGGAGGGAUAUCUGUUCAAGAGAGCCAGUAAUGCCUUCAAAACAUGGAACAGGCGAUGGUUCUCAAUUCAAAAUAAUCAGCUUGUGUAUCAGAAAAAAUUUAAGGAUAACCCUACUGUUGUGGUGGAAGACCUACGGUUAUGCACCGUCAAACACUGCGAGGACAUCGAACGCCGCUUCUGUUUCGAAGUUGUGUCUCCAACAAAGAGUUGUAUGAUGCAAGCGGACUCUGAAAAACUCAGACAGGCCUGGAUCAAAUCCGUCCAAAACAGUAUUGCUACAGCCUUCAGGGAUAAAGCAGAGGACACUGAGAAGAUGGACAGGAAGUCGUCUCCAUCUACAGGCAGUCUGGACUCGGGUGUAGAUAAGAAGGAGAAGACUCUUAAAGGUGACAGUGCGCUGCAGAAGGUGAUGGCCAUCGCUGGCAAUAGCACCUGCUGUGACUGUGGGCAGCCUAACCCGUGCUGGGCGAGCAUUAACCUGGGCAUCACUCUCUGCAUUCAGUGCUCGGGGAUACACAGGAGUCUUGGAGUUAAUUUCUCUAAGGUCCGAUCUUUGACACUGGACACAUGGGAGCCUGAACUGCUCAAGUUGAUGUGUGAGCUGGGAAAUGGUGUCAUUAAUCAAAUCUAUGAGGCACGCCUGGAAGAACUUGGAUCCAGAAAACCACAGCCAGGAGAUCCCAGGCAUGAGAUAGAGGCGUACAUCAAAGCCAAGUAUGUUGAGCGAUGGUUUGUCCAGAGACGGUCAGAAGAUGAGAUCAAAGAGAAGGUUCUAUCAUUGAGUAAUCCAGAUAAACGUCUCAGCAGCUGCUCAGAAGCUCCGCCUACAAGACAACCAGCAACAUCAAAACCCCCACCCGCCUCUGGUUCCUCAGUGAAACGUACAGAUGUUGAAAGAGAGAACCUCACAGAUGAAGGCAAAGGAAUGCUGAAUACAACUGCAGCCUCCAACACACUCAAUGACAUGGAGUCGUACGUCACGGAUCCUCCGGCUGAAUGUUUUAGUAAAGAUGUGCUGGUGUUCUGUGAGCCGAAGCAGUUCACUGCAGGCUUGCAGCUGUACUGGGCAUCAUUCUCUCGCAGUCUGCCUGACAUGGCUGAAGCUCUUGCACAUGGAGCCAAGGUAAACUGGACCAACACGGAUGAUGACAACAGGACGCCCCUCAUUAUGGCCGUACAUGGGGGAUCUCUGGUCACCUGUGAAUUUCUUCUGCAAAAUUCAGCCAGAGUGAACCAAAAAGACAAUAGAGGCAGAGGACCAAUACAUCACGCCACCAUUCUGGGCCACACGGGACAAGUGUGUUUAUUCCUGAAGCGAGGAGCCAAUCAGAACGCAGCAGACAUUGAGAAUAAAACGCCACUGUCAAUCGCAGUCGAGGCAGCUAACGCUGAUAUUGUCACGCUGCUUCGACUGGCAAAGAUGAAUGAGGAGAUGCGGGAAUCAGAGGGUCCUUACAGUCAGUCAGGUCAGUAUAACUCUAUCAGCCCUACUGAGAUGCAGUACAGGAAGUGUAUGGAAGAGUUCAUUAGCUUACAGCUCAAAGACUCCUAACACAUACUGUACAUUACGUGACCAAAAUCUCCAAAGCCUGCAGCAUAUGUAAAAUAUCUGUGAAUGUACACCGCUCAAGCUUCAAUUCACCCCCGGAUGGGUUGAUAUAGCCUAGUAUUUUAAAGCUAAGCAUCUUAUUUAUUAACAGUAGUUGGUCAAAGGUGCAAUAAGUAGAUUGUAAAGUAGUAUUGAACACAUAUGCACCUUAUUUACAUUUGUCUGAAUGCAAAUACUGGUGCUCAUUGAUGGUAGCGUAUUGAAUUACUCUAUGAUCCAUGAGUGAAUGUAUGUUUGUUUAUGAUCGUUCUGACACAUUCCUGAUAUAUAAAUCUUCAUUCGAUGUACUUGAGACUAUCUCAGUAAGUUUUGGAUACAUUUUUAUUACUAUUAUAUUGAAUUUAUGAAAAUGAAUAAUUAUUAUGAAUGCAUAACAUAGUGUUAAUAAAACGGAUACCAAACAGAAAGCACUUUAGCUCAAUUGUUUUAGCUUAUUUUUAUUGAAAUAUUUGAUUUGUAUCUACAUAAAUGAAGUACUUUCAGAAUUAUCCAUUAAUGAAAGUGAUUAGCAUAAGAGACAUGAUUUGUAUAAUUAUUUAAAAAAUGUUGAAUGUUGAGAGACCAAAAAAAUUAUAUACAGUAUAUAUUUCUUAAUAUAAUGUGGAAUUAUGUUUUUAGGUGUAGAUAUAGGAAAAAGGAAAAACUAUAAAAUGACAAUGUAAAGGUUCAAUUAUAUGACUAUAUUUAUGAAUAUUAUUAUAUUUUGUUAUAUAUUUCAAGUGCAAAAAUGAAAAGUGAUUGUAGUUAAGGAUGUUUUGACACAGAGGGGCGUUGUAGAGCAGGAUUUUACACCUGAUGCUGUUUGGAUCUGGUGAAAGUUCAGCCUGAUUCACAAGGUCCUCCAAUCAGCUUUAUUUAUUUACUGGGAUCUGAAAUAUAAUCCCAUAAACUGCAAUCCUUAAGCAUACUUCUGCUUUCUUGAAUGUAAAAGAUGUAUAAUAACAUAUUCUCAGGUUUAAUCGAAAUGCAAAUGAAAAAAAAAAACUUUCUUAAAGAUGAAAGGUGCGGUUUAUUAUUCAGAGUACCAGUGCAAAUGUAUGUAAAAACCAUAAAACACUGUUGUAUGUUAUUGUAGAUUUCUGAGCUGCUGUCUUUUUCUGUUAUUCUGUUACUGUUAUGCCACUUUGAGAUAUUUGAUCAUUUCUGUCAAGUUAAAUACUUUAAAGGAACAUUCCAGGUUCAAUACACAAGUUCUGUUGACUUUGUGACAUGCUGUUGAUUACCACUUAGAAUAAUUUCACCUCAUCCCUCAGUUAUUUUAAAGAAAUCGUCUUGAGACUAUACUCUAAAAGUGUAUGUAAUAGUUCUCCAGUUUCUUUGUGGACUUCCAUCGUUGGUGUCUGUCUAUUAUGUAAUAUUAAUUAUGAUAACAUGAAUCUAGUACUAUUAAAUGCAGACUGACCUUGUCUGUGUAAAGUUGUACACAAUUUUUCAACCCCUGUCCUGAACAUGUAAAGAGAUAAACUGGUACCUUUCACGCAAAACCAGAUAAGAAAUUUUUUUACAUGGGAAAAUAAAAAUGGCAAUUACUACUUCUGUCUAGAAAAGUAUCCCCGCUGCCAAAAGGUCAAGUCAGGCAACUGUAACGGCUCAAAUAACAACAAGAGUGUUUUUUCAAGCCAUUGGACGUAUUCUGUCAUAUAAAGCAGCAAAAAAACUGCAACAUUUUCCACAAUACAAGGAAAGGACGUUUUUUAUUGAGAAUUUCUUUUUUUUAUCCAAAUGAAAGGAUAAGUUAGACAACUUUACAGCUCAAAUAACACAUUUCUGUGUGGAAUUAAUCUUUCAAGUGCUUUAUUCAAAAGUGUCUGCUUUAAAUGCUCCAGAAGUCUUGCCCCGUAGACUUCUUUUAAUUGCAGUACUUGAAACAUCAUUUUUUCAUCAACAAAAAAAUCAAUGUUAUGUAUUGAACCUAGAACAUACAUUCAUAUCUUCACACUCAUUUGUUACAUGGUCAGAGAGAUCUGAUAUAUAGUCUUCAUAUACCAGAUGUAAAUAAAUAUACUUCAUAAGCCAUAGUUUGUGUCAUGUCCGUUUCAACUCUUCAUUUCCUCCUUUCUCUCUUGCGCUCUGCUAAACUCUUGAGUUUCUCAUCUGAAGUACUGCAGGAGAUGAAACAUACAAGGACAUUUUCCAAGACUUUACCCAGAUGGCAUCAAAUGACCCUGACAAACUCAACCGCUUCUGAACACACGAAUAAACCUCCAACAGUAUAGCACACCACGCCAACCUCCACAGAAAUGCAGUUUGAUAUUUACUAGCAUUUUUAAGAACUGUGUGUUUUAUUGGAUUGACUACUGAAUAUUGGCCAUGAUACAAAGUAUAAAAUGUACUCAUUGUUUUGUGAUAUUUCAGUGAAUUCUAAUGAAACUGUCAGAGUUUAUUCAUGUAUCGAUGGUAUUUUGGGUGACAAAUUAUAUUGCACUCACACCAGUUAAAUAUUGACAUUUUAUUGUAAAAUUCAUUACAAGCGUUUUUUUUAUAUUAUAUAUAUUGUUUCUCAGAUGAACAGCGAGAAAUUUGUGUUCUUUUGAGCCGUUGGACGUGAUAGACCUCACUCAUGAAACAUGCUGUAAAUCCUGCUCCUGCUUACACAAAUGGACGCAUUGAAUUUUACGUUAGAAUAGAUUUACGAAGUAUUUGCACAGAAAUAUUCUGCUUGUACAUUCUUUCAUAUUGAAUUGAAUGUGACAAUUUAUGCAAGAAUGUUUUUGCAAAAGAGUUACACAGAAUUCAUUGUGCUCAUGUAAAUCACUCAUAAAUCUGUUCUUAUAGAAAUUGUGCCGUUCAAUUCAAAGCGAAUGUUUUCUCAAACUAUUUCCAAACACAUUUUCUGCUUGUGUUUCUUGAAAGAUGCCCAUGUGUUUGUAGAUAGCAUCUCAAUAGCUAUACUGAGGAGGGUAACAUUUACGUUUACCUGUACAUGGUAACACAAUUCCUAAAAAAAAAAACAAUACAUUUACUGUAUUUUUUGUGCUCUCUGCAUGUUUGUAUGUGCUUAAUUGCUGUUUGAUGAUGUGCCGCUGUUAUUGCGCAUUUUUUAAAGACAAAACUUGCGUGGCAUUUUUACAUUAGCAUGUGAACCCAUCCCAACUCCUUUAUAUGUGCAUACAGUAUAGAGUGAAUCAUAAUCAUACCACAAUAUAUGGGGUGUAAAUUGUCUAUAUUCUGUACAUUCAUCAUCUUGGACUGGGAAGUUUAUUUUGUAGUACUUUAAAUAGUGUAAUAAUCUUUGGUGCUCUUUUAAUUGUAUUUUUUGUGCUUUUUAUUCAACAUGCUGUAUUCAAGUCAUUUGACAUUUGUAUCCACUGCAAAUAUUUGACUGUGAAAAUAUAUCAAGAUAUAUUAUAAAUUGUUUUCUAAGGUUUUAAUGAAUUAUUUUUCUUUGACCAUAAUUAUAAUUUAAAGGACUUUAUGUGCAACAUGUCAGCCAUGUCUCUAACCCUCUUCAGUAGAACUAUUCAUAAAAUUGAAUAAAAACACCCCGUUUUG